rnacentral:rRNA from 1 species
GACGAACGCUGGCGGCGUGCCUAAUACAUGCAAGUCGAGCGCUGAAGCUCGGUACUUGUUCCAACUGGGUGAGCAGCGCACGGGUGAGUAACGCGUGGAGAAUCUCCCUUUGAGCGGGGGACAACAUGUGGAAACGAAUGCUAAUACCGCAUAAAAUCUUUAAACACAAGUUUUAAGUUUGAAAGACGCCAUUGCAUCACUCAAUGAUGGUCUCUCGUCGUAUUAGGUAGUUGGUGAGGUAAAGGCUCAACAAGGCGAUGAAACAUAGCCGAACUGAGAGGGUGAUCAGCCACAUUGGGAGGGGGACAAGGCACAAGCGCCUUCAGGAAGCAGCAGUAGGGGAACUUCGGGCAGGGGCGGAAGUCUGAGCGAACAACGCCGCGGGAGUGAAGAAGGUUGUCGGGUCGGGAAACUCGGUUGGUGGGGGAGAACGAUAGUGAGAGUGGAAAGCGCAUAAAGUGACGGUAACUAGUCAGAAAGCAACGGCUAACUACGUG